CUAGCAGGUUGUACAAAUGAUCAGUGUUUGUGAGACUAGCAGGUUGUACAGACGAUCAGAGUUUUUGAGACUAGCAGGUUGUACAGAUUAGCGUUUGAGACUAGUAGGUUGUACAGAUGAUCAGUGUUUGUGAGACCAGCGGGUUGUACAGAUGAUCAGUGUUUGUGAGACCAGCGGGUUGUACAGAUGGUCACUCACUAUGCGGCCGAGUCGUUGAGCUGGUACUCGCGCGAGCGCGCGAAGCAGGCCUGCACGCCCCCGUCCUUCCACAGCCGCUUGAUGACACCCGCCAACUC